rnacentral:rRNA from 1 species
AGCCCUAGCACAGGUGCUGCAUGGCCGUCGUCAGCUCGUGCCGUGAGGUGUGGGUUAAGUCCCGCAACGAGCGCAACCCCCGCCGUUAGUUGCCAGCGGUUCGGCCGGGCACUCUAACGGGACUGCCCGCGAAAGCGGGAGGAAGGAGGGGACGACGUCUGGUCAGCAUGGCCCUUACGGCCUGGGCGACACACGUGCUACAAUGCCCACUACAAAGCGAGGCCACCCGGCAACGGGGAGCUAAUCGCAAAAAGGUGGGCCCAGUUCGGAUUGGGGUCUGCAACCCGACCCCAUGAAGCCGGAAUCGCUAGUAAUCGCGGAUCAGCCAUGCCGCGGUGAAUACGUUCCCGGGCCUU